CUCCGUACACGUUCGGCAACUCUCGGUAAGUGGCUCUUGCCGACUCGUUGGCUCUCCGGAAAUCUUCGGUGGCUUUCGCAGCUGGCUUUGGGGGGGCCCACCUCUCAGUUGGUCGUCUCUUUCCGGAAAACUUCGGCGCCUCUCGAGAAAAACGUCGGACGCUCUUUGCUCUCUCCAGGAGUCUCUUCCUGGACAGCUGCACCCUCUAGUAGUCUCUUUUUGGAACUCCUCUUCCCGACUCCUACAUUCCCCCCAAAAUGUACUCAAACUAGUCAGAGUCGGAAGGGUCAGACAAUGAACCAUGUUUCCGACAUCCUCGUAAGUGCUAGGAUAACUACCAUUUAGUGCAUUCAGAAGAAAUAAGGUUAAAUGAUGAAAAUCCUUACAGAAAAGAAAAUUGAGACUCAGAGAUGGCAGAGGGGGUGGUAAGAUGGGGCGGGGAGUGGGGGCUGGGGAAUCCAGGAAAGUUUUCCACAGACAGAACCUAAACUGAAUUGAGAAUAAUUAAACUUUUUCAGUUUCUAUUUCAUUAUAAAGCUAAUAACACAGGCUGUAGCAAAUUCUUACAAUACGAAACUUUGCACACACACAUAAAUAAACUACCUAUCCCCUUUGUGA
rnacentral:lncRNA from 1 species